rnacentral:rRNA from 1 species
CCCUUAGAUGUUCUGGGCCGCACGCGCGCUACACUGACGAAUGCAACGAGCUUAUAACCUUGGCCGAAAGGUCUGGGUAAUCUCCAAAUUUCGUCGUGAUGGGGAUAGAUUAUUGCAAUUAUUAAUCUUCAACGAGGAAUGCCUAGUAAGCGCAAGUCAUCAGCUUGCGUUGAUUACGUCCCUGCCCUUUGUACACACCGCCCGUCGCUCCUACCGAUUGAAUGGUCCGGUGAAGCGUUCGGACCGUGGCCUUUGGACGGUUCGCCGUCUGUUGGCUGCGGGAAGUUCGUUAAACCUUNUNAUUUAUNGGAAGGUGAANUCGUANCA